CUAGCGGCGGACGGGUUAGUAACGCGUGGGAACGUACCCAGAUCUACGGAAUAGCCUCGGGAAACUGAGAGUAAUACCGUAUACGCCCUUCGGGGGAAAGAUUUAUCGGAUUUGGAUCGGCCCGCGUAAGAUUAGAUAGUUGGUGGGGUAAUGGCCUACCAAGUCUACGAUCUUUAGCUGGUUUGAGAGGAUGAUCAGCAACACUGGGACUGAGACACGGCCCAGACUCCUACGGGAGGCAGCAGUGGGGAAUCUUAGACAAUGGGCGCAAGCCUGAUCUAGCGAUGCCGCGUGAGUGAUGAAGGCCUUAGGGUCGUAAAGCUCUUUCGCCUGUGAAGAUAAUGACGGUAGCAGGUAAAGAAACCCCGGCUAACUCCGUGCCAGCAGCCGCGGUAAUACGGAGGGGGUUAGCGUUGUUCGGAAUUACUGGGCGUAAAGCGCACGUAGGCGGACUAGUCAGUCAGAGGUGAAAUCCCAGGGCUCAACCCUGGAACUGCCUUUGAUACUGCUAGUCUUGAGUUCGAGAGAGGUAAGUGGAAUUCCGAGUGUAGAGGUGAAAUUCGUAGAUAUUCGGAGGAACACCAGUGGCGAAGGCGGCUUACU
rnacentral:rRNA from 1 species